rnacentral:lncRNA from 1 species
CAGGGUUUCACUCUGUCACCCAGGCUGGAGUGCAGUGGCACUGUCAUAGCUCAUCGCAGCCUCAAACUCCCAGGCUCAAGCAAUCCUCGCACCUCAGCCUCCUGAGCAUCUGGGACCACACAUGCAGCACGCACCACCACACCCAGCUAAUUUUUAUUUUAUUUUAUUUUAUUUUUGAGACGGAGUCUCACUCUGUCGCGCCAACUCGGCUCACUACAACCUCCGCCUCCUGGGUUCAAGCAGUUCUCCUGCCUCAGCCUCCCGAGUAGCUGGGACUAUAGGCGACCGCCACCACACCUGGCUAAUUUUUGUAUUUUUAGUAGAGACAAGGUUUCACCAUGUUGACCAGGCUGGUCUCGAACUCCUUGCCUCAAGUGAUCCUCCCACUUCAGCCUCCCAAAGUGCUGGAAUUACAGGUGUGAGCCACUGUGCCCGGCCCAGAGACUUUUGAAAGUCUAAAAUGGAUUGUAUCAUAGCUCACAUCACUCCUCUUCCCACUGCAGGAUAAAACCCAGGCCUCUCACUGCAACACACAAGGCCCCGAAUGGUCCCGCUCCCCUCUCCGUUCGUUCCUCUUUCUCUUGCCCACCACGCUGCAGCCUGGGGUCUGUCUCUGCCUUUCACACAUCCAACUUCAUUCCUGCCCCGUGGACCUUGCCCUUGUCACCGAACCUUUGUGGAACGCUUUCACCCCAGCUCUCCACAUGGCUGGGCUCCUUCUCCCGCUGGAGAGCCACCGUCACAUCCUCAGAGAGGUUCUGCCUGAGUCCUCCCUCCAACGCCGCCCCCAAAGCCAUUCUGCCUUCCGCCAGUUUC